AUAGGAGGUCCAGCCUGCCCAGUGACUACGGGUUCAACGGCCGCGGUAUUUUGACCGUGCAAAGGUAGCGCAAUCACUUGUCUCUUAAAUAGAGACCUGUAUGAAUGGCUAGACGAGGGCUUAACUGUCUCCCCCUUCCAGUCAGUGAAAUUGAUCUAUCCGUGCAGAAGCGGGUAUAAUUAUACAAGACGAGAAGACCCUUUGGAGCUUAAGGUACAAAAUUCAACCACGUUAAACAACUCCAUAAAAAGUACGAACUUAGUGGCAUAUGAAAUUUUACCUUCGGUUGGGGCGACCACGGAGGAAAAAUAAGCCUCCGAGUGGACUGGGCCAAAUACCCAAAGCCAAAAGAUACAUCUUUAAGCCGCAGAAUAUCUGACCAAAAAUGAUCCGACUAAUAAAGCCGAUCAACGAACCAAGUUACCCUAGGGAUAACAGCGCAAUCCUCUCCCAGAGUCCAUAUCGACGAGGGGGUUUACGACCUCGAUGUUGGAUCAGGACAUCCUAAUGGUGCAGCCGCUAUUAAGGGUUCGUUUGUUCAACGAUUAAAGUCC
rnacentral:rRNA from 1 species